GGGUUGUGAGGUUAAGCGACUAAGCGUACACGGUGGAUGCCCUGGCAGUCAGAGGCGAUGAAGGACGUGCUAAUCUGCGAUAAGCGUCGGUAAGGUGAUAUGAACCGUUAUAACCGGCGAUUUCCGAAUGGGGAAACCCAGUGUGAUUCGUCACACUAUCAUUAACUGAAUCCAUAGGUUAAUGAGGCGAACCGGGGGAACUGAAACAUCUAAGUACCCCGAGGAAAAGAAAUCAACCGAGAUUCCCCCAGUAGCGGCGAGCGAACGGGGAGGAGCCCAGAGCCUGAAUCAGUGUGUGUGUUAGUGGAAGCGUCUGGAAAGGCGCGCGAUACAGGGUGACAGCCCCGUACACAAAAAUGCACAUGCUGUGAGCUCGAUGAGUAGGGCGGGACACGUGGUAUCCUGUCUGAAUAUGGGGGGACCAUCCUCCAAGGCUAAAUACUCCUGACUGACCGAUAGUGAACCAGUACCGUGAGGGAAAGGCGAAAAGAACCCCGGCGAGGGGAGUGAAAAAGAACCUGAAACCGUGUACGUACAAGCAGUGGGAGCACGCUUAGGCGUGUGACUGCGUACCUUUUGUAUAAUGGGUCAGCGACUUAUAUUCUGUAGCAAGGUUAACCGAAUAGGGGAGCCGAAGGGAAACCGAGUCUUAACUGGGCGUUAAGUUGCAGGGUAUAGACCCGAAACCCGGUGAUCUAGCCAUGGGCAGGUUGAAGGUUGGGUAACACUAACUGGAGGACCGAACCGACUAAUGUUGAAAAAUUAGCGGAUGACUUGUGGCUGGGGGUGAAAGGCCAAUCAAACCGGGAGAUAGCUGGUUCUCCCCGAAAGCUAUUUAGGUAGCGCCUCGUGAAUUCAUCUCCGGGGGUAGAGCACUGUUUCGGCAAGGGGGUCAUCCCGACUUACCAACCCGAUGCAAACUGCGAAUACCGGAGAAUGUUAUCACGGGAGACACACGGCGGGUGCUAACGUCCGUCGUGAAGAGGGAAACAACCCAGACCGCCAGCUAAGGUCCCAAAGUCAUGGUUAAGUGGGAAACGAUGUGGGAAGGCCCAGACAGCCAGGAUGUUGGCUUAGAAGCAGCCAUCAUUUAAAGAAAGCGUAAUAGCUCACUGGUCGAGUCGGCCUGCGCGGAAGAUGUAACGGGGCUAAACCAUGCAC
rnacentral:rRNA from 1 species